AUUGAACGCUGGCGGCAUGCUUUACACAUGCAAGUCGAACGGCAGCGGGGGCUUCGGCCCGCCGGCGAGUGGCGAACGGGUGAGUAAUGCAUCGGAACGUGCCCAGUCGUGGGGGAUAACACAUCGAAAGAUGUGCUAAUACCGCAUACGUCCUGAGGGAGAAAGCGGGGGAUCUUCGGACCUCGCGCGAUUGGAGCGGCCGAUGUCGGAUUAGCUAGUUGGUGAGGUAAUGGCUCACCAAGGCGACGAUCAGUAGCUGGUCUGAGAGGAUGAUCAGCCACACUGGGACUGAGACACGGCCCAGACUCCUACGGGAGGCAGCAGUGGGGAAUUUUGGACAAUGGGGGCAACCCUGAUCCAGCCAUGCCGCGUGAGUGAAGAAGGCCU
rnacentral:rRNA from 1 species